AAAAAUAAAAUAAGAAAUGGAAUACCUUAUCAUUUCAACAAAUUAUUAUAUAUAGUAUAGACUAUUAUUCUCAAAAACAACAUGAUAUGUUAUGCAUUCCUCACUCAGAGGCUUCAACAAAAGUGAUACUUAUUUUAUUCUUAUGACAGAAUCAGUGAAGUUCUUCAUAUAGGCUGUAUUUGUAAUGUUUGAAGAUCAAUAAUGGGCUCCAAAUAAUUUCUUGAGGCUUCAAUAAAAGUGAUACUUAUUUUAUUCUUACGACAGAGUCAGUGAAGUUCUUCAUAUUGGGUGUAUUUGUAAUGUUUGAAGAUCAAUAAUGGGCUCCAAUAAUUUCUUGAGGACCUGCCGGGAAAAAAGAAAUCUCGUAAGUUUUUGAGCAUUUAUUAUAUAUGGAUGCUUUGUCAAUAAAAAAAUGAAUGAAUGACCAAAGCUAUCUAUACCUUCCACAUUGUUUCAUGAGAACUAUCCUUAGAGACUGCGCCAAUUAUUGACUUAGUUAAAUCCGUGAGAAACUUUGGUGUAUCGAUGAGUCCAUAAGAAUGUAUUGGAUAGUUGAAUACAAUCUCCGUGGAAUGCUUUAAUGUUCAUAAAUCGAUAUAUCUAGUUAGAUAUGAAAGGUACAAACAAACGACACCAGAUAAUGACGAUGAGUGACUACGAUUAUACCAUCGAGGAUAAUACUUUGAGAAAAUUUGUCUUUCGUCAUCACUUUUUGGGGGCAAAUUUGCUCAGUGUCACCACUUUAUUUUUUAUUUGUAUUUUGUCACCAUUUCGUCUCAGCUUAGUCAAUUCUAACGGUCAACUCAACUUUGACUUGAUCAAACAGUUAUUGCACACCAACGACUUUAGGUUUUUUUUUUCUCUCUUUUUUCUCUUUGUUGUUGUUCUUCGUUUCGAUAUUCUUCAAUUUCAGAAUUUUUUAAGCUCGAUCUCAGUCAACAUAUAUUUGACUCAGUCAACUAACGAGGUUGAGACGGCAUGGUGACUAAACACAAAUAUUAAAAAAAGUGGUGAUAUUGUGCAAACAUACCCCAAAAGUGGUGACGUGUGUCUAAAAGUAUAUAAAACAAGCCACUUCAAGAAAAUAUACUUGCUUAAACUAUAAGGAAAUUCUUCUUUCUAAUGUAAUUAAUUAUUUAAAGUUCCACAUACCUAAUAACAAAUGUUUAUCAAUAAAUUUUUAUUUUAGUCAAGAAAAAUAAAAAAAAGUUCUACUGUCAAAUUCACUAAAUCAUCAAGACAUAGAACAAGUUUCUUUAAACUAUAAUUGAAGGAAAUUAUUGGGCAGAAAGCUUACCAAGGAUAUACAGUAAUUGGGAUCAGACCUGUGACCUUAAAGCCAUUGAACACAAAAUUACCAAACUCACACCAGCCUCCAUCAAUUUAGACUAGUCAAUUAGAAAAGAAAGAACAAUUCAUCGAACAUUUGAGAUCUAGAU
rnacentral:lncRNA from 1 species